GAGAGAGGAGGCAAGCGUUAUCCGGAAUUAUUGGGCGUAAAGCGUCCGUAGGUGGUUUGGCAAGUCUGGGGUUAAAGCCCGGAGCCUAACUCCGGAUCGGCCCUGGAAACUGCCAGACUAGAGUAAGGUAGGGGUUGCGGGAAUUCCCGGUGUAGCUGUGAAAUGCGUAGAUAUCGGGAAGAACACCAGUGGCGAAAGCGCGCAACUGGGCCAUUACUGACACUGAGGGACGAAAGCUAGGGGAGCUAAUGGG
rnacentral:rRNA from 1 species